UACGGGGGGGACAAGCGUUGUUCGGAAUUACUGGGCGUAAAGGGCUCGUAGGUGGCCAACUAAGUCGGACGUGAAAUCCCUCGGCUUAACCGGGGAACUGCGUCCGAUACUGGUUGGCUUGAGUUUGGGAGAGGGAUGCGGAAUUCCAGGUGUAGCGGUGAAAUGCGUAGAUAUCUGGAGGAACACCGGUGGCGAAAGCAAGGUCCUGGACUCGUCCUGACGCUGAGGCGCGAAAGCCAGGGGAGCGAACGGG
rnacentral:rRNA from 1 species